CCUACGGGUGGCUGCAGUGAGGAAUAUUGGUCAAUGGACGAGAGUCUGAACCAGCCAAGUAGCGUGAAGGAUGACUGCCCUAUGGGUUGUAAACUUCUUUUAUCAAGGAAUAAAACGAGUCACGUGUGCCUUUUUGCAUGUACUUUAUGAAUAAGGAUCGGCUAACUCCGUGCCAGCAGCCGCGGUAAUACGGAGGAUGCGAGCGUUAUCCGGCUUUAUUGGGUUUAAAGGGAGCGGAGGUGGGUGGUCAAGUCAGGUGUGAAAGUUUGCGGCUCAACCCUAAAAUUGCAGUUGAUAUUGGCAUUCUUGAGUACGGUUGAGGUAGGCGGAAUGCGUGGUGGAGCGGUGAAAUGCUUAGAUAUCACGAAGAACUCAGAUUGCGAAGGCAGCUUACUAAACUGUGACUGACAUUGAUGCUCGAAAGUGUGGGUAUCAAACAGGAUUAGAUACCCGGGUAGUC
rnacentral:rRNA from 1 species